CCGUCGACCAGACCGUGGCCUCGCCGCGCGCGCCCUGCUCCGGGGCGUCGCCGCGCAGAGGAGCAGCAGUAGGAACGAGGCGUUCUAGUACUAGUGCCGCCGGUACAGGAGCUUCUCCGGCCAGGAAUCGAUCACCAUCCGUUGGUGCUACCUUCAGAGGGGCUGCAAGUUUUCAGGAAGUAAUAAGGCAAGAGGAAUUGGAGCUGCACAAAGACACUUGAUUCUUGUCUGUAAUUUGGAGUUGUACAAGGGCACCCGAGGCUUGGCUGUAAUUUGGCUAUCAAGUACCUGUUAUCUUUAAGAUCUUGUGAUAAGUGUGCAUAAGAGUAUGUGGUAAGGCUGCUGUUGGGCUAGCCGUGGCGGCUAGUUCAGCGCGCCGCAACCGCGGUGGUGGUGCUAUGUCGUUUUCUGCUACAAUUCUCUUAGGUGAAGGACACCUGUUCCCCCCACCUCUGGUUCCCGGUUUUUUGUUGCGCUGUGGAUCUGCACGUGCUUGCAUUCGUUUUUGGAAUUUGCAUCCUGAUGCGUGCUAACAGCUCCCAGAUUAGUAGAGAGCUUUAGGUGAAAAGUUCAGAUUUUAAGGUUUAAAUUUCAGUGUGAGCUAGUACAUGUACAUCCAGAUAAAUUUUAGUUUUGGUUUGAUCUAAUAUUGACUGAUGAUGUGCAAGAUUAGCUAGUCCGAGCUGUCAAGAUGCAUGCCACCGACAGUUGCAAGAGCCAUCGACUAAUUCGGUCUUGGUUUCUUUUUGCGUUGAAUCUUGAUAUUCAGAUAGUAUACCUGCUUGAACUAUUGCAUUGUUUUAUUGCAUUCUUUGUGCAAUCGCAAUGACUAGCUGUUGAUAUGUUUUCUAGGAUGCAGCAGUGGAAGGAAUCUGGAAGACCUGGAGCGGUGGCCUUCUUCUACUCCAUGUUGUGUCUAGGUAGAUUCUGAGUAUGUGGCAUGGCUGCUGCUCUGUAGACCGUGACGGCGAGUUAACCGUGCCGCAACCGCGGUGGUGGUGCCAUCAUGGCUGCACCUAAAAUUCUGUCAGGUAUACUUUCUUUUGACAUUUCCUGUUGGAGAGUUGUCAUGUGCCAAGCAAAGUCACGGAUGGGGAAGACUGCUUGUUGUAUUGUGCCACACUGCCACAUGAGAGAGCUGGCUUACCAGGUUGCUCUAUUCUAUGGAGGUGUUCACAUAAAGAAGCCCUAAGGAUUUAUUUGCUGCCGUCACUGUGGAAGGAUUCUAGCUCCAGCUAGAGAGAAGGACCUUUCUUUGAAGAAUGCGAAGCAUUUCAUUCUUGAUGAGUGUGAUAAGAUGAUAGAGUCACUUGGUAAUUUUUUACCGUGUGUAUAUCAUGCAUGGAAGUGGGAGAAGUGGAGCUGGAGCUGGUCAGGAGGCAGCGACGGCUGUCGGAUCCGGCUGGCAGGCUGUCAUGGCCUUCUUUUUCGAAUCCGUGGGUUUAGGAAAAUGGGGACUAAGUGAGAGACAUGUGUUGCAGCUGGAACCAGUGGCUGAGGGCGGCCAUCACUUGGAAGGAAGCUGGAAGACCCUGGGGACAAGCUCGGUCGGCUUCCUUUUUAGCGCUGUGGUUUGGAUGUCCAAAAAACAGACAAGGUCUUGCCAAAAUUUUGAGUACUCCCGUGGUAAUUAAUUCCGAACAUCUUGUUGGUGCGGUAGUCGGGAAGCGCGAACCAGAAAAAUCAUAUGUAGUGCUGCUUUUUGGUUCUUGUAAUAUUCGGUAGUACCUGACGCUGUAAAAUCCAUUUCUGUAGUGCUCUAGGCUUGGGUAGUUGUAACAAUUUGGUAAAUGUGCACGUGUGAGAUCUUUCUUCCUAGCUCGCGUUUCUCUUUGGGUUUGAUAAAUGUCAGCAAGGUUGGAUUGUGUGCUGCACAAACAUUUAUUCUAGUACUGUUAUAUUGUUUGA